UACGUAGGGCGCAAGCGUUGUCCGGAAUUAUUGGGCGUAAAGAGCUCGUAGGCGGCCUGUUGCGUCCGCUGUGAAAUCCCGGGGCUCAACCCCGGGCCUGCAGUGGAUACGGGCUGGCUAGAGGCAGGCAGGGGAGACGGAAUUCCUGGUGUAGCGGUGAAAUGCGCAGAUAUCAGGAGGAACACCGGUGGCGAAGGCGGUUCUCUGGGCCUGUACUGACGCUGAGGAGCGAAAGCGUGGGGAGCGAACAGG
rnacentral:rRNA from 1 species